CAAAUAAGUUGUUUGUAUAUAACAACAUUAUAUACCAAAAAAAGCAACCGCAACUCCCCUGAUUUCCGAUUCAAGAAGAAGGGCCUCCGCAUUUUAUGUGCGGUCACCGAAGGGUCCGGAGCACCAUUACUUCGAUCCCAGCCCACCGUUGAUCCGGGCUCCGAUUGCCUGCCAUGGUUCCUUUGACACGUUCUUUCUCGAGCGGCGGUUUGUCCCCGAGCUUCCGAGGCUUUCGCGCUCUAAUCGUACAAUUCUUUGUUCUUUCGUUUCUGGCGCCGCUGUUUGUCCCGGUGGUGUUUGGAACUCUGACCACCUUGACCAAUU